GUGAGAUUUUAGCAAAGAUCUGAAUGAUGAUAAUAAUAAGUGUGUCGCAUAAGAAUAUUCUAGGCAGAGAGAACAUGAGAUGCAAAGGCGUGGAGGUAGGUAAGAGCUUGGGUGUUCAUGGAACAGCACAGAGGUCAGUGUGGCCAGCAGAAGAUGCCACAGAGAGAGUGGGGAGAGUUGAAGUUGAGAGGGAGGCCGCCAAUCAUGAACUGCCUUGUAGGUCAGGAGAGGAGGGUGGAUUUUAUUCUGAGCGUGUUGGGGAGAUAUUAGAGGCCUUCGAGCAGGAGCGUGACAUGUUCUGAUGUACAUUUAAAGAUCACCAUGGCUGCUGAGUGACUAACAGACUGCGUGGAGGAUUCUUAUUCACACCAGGAGCCCUAGAAGCCUCUGAUGAAAACACAGGGAUUAUAUCUUGCAGACAUUUUUACUUACAAGGGUUUGGACAAAAGCGGUUGAAGAUGAACCCUCAGAUGCCCAGAAAGCAGCACUUUUGGUUUACAAACUGGGCUUGAGCUCUUUGAGGCAGGAAUGAUCAUAAUCUCUGUUUUACAGACAUGGAACCACUUGUUCCAGAUCACACCACCAGGAAAAUUCUGAAUGUCAGGCUCAAACCAGUCUGAGGACUCCCAAUCCAGUGCAUCCUGCUGCCUCUAAAUAACCCAGCACUCCAGUGCUCCGGCAGACUGCAGCUGGGUGCAGUCUGAUGAAAUUAUUCUGGAAGUGAGGGCGUCUGACUAGACAGAACAAUCAAAGCACCACCGGCCGGCUUCUCAAGCUGUGACUACAGAAACCCCACAUGUGUGGUCCAGUUCUCCACCUGCUGCUCCAAGCUGCCUCUCUGAGUCUGGAGGUGAAGACCAAAGCCCCAGGUGGGCUCCUUUCUGUCCCUGGGCUCUGAAUCUACCUCUGCUUCUGGACAGAUGAAGGCCCAGAACCUCUUUUCCUCCCUUGGUUUGUUUUCCCCUCUGUGAAACGGGCAGAGUGGCUCUUGCCCUGGUCGGUGACUGCUGCCCAGCAGGGCUUCUGCUAGUUUGAAGAUGAUAAUUUAGCAACAGACCAGUCUAUUGUCUCCCAGAGGACCUGGCCCAUAGGAGUGAAAACACAUUUCCAUAUGCCUCUGGCAUUCCAGGCUCUGAAAGUAGAGUCUUUUGUUACACUUUGUGGUGUCCUCUGGGCCCCUGAAUUUGCAUACUCAAAUGAGCCCUGCCCUUGGCAUCUCCAGCAGGCCCAGCUGAGGCCCAGGCAGGGUCUCACUCAACUCCCACUAUCCCUGGGCUCCUGCUGAGUAGGCUGAACUCCUUCACCUACUUUUGCACAGGCUGUUUCUUUUGUCUAAAAGACCUUUACCUUUUCUCUUCAUCUACUGAACUUCUAUUCAUCCUUCAGGCUCGGCCUAGAGGCCACUUCCUCCAGGAAGCAUUCUCUGAUUGCUCCUGGACCAGGCUAAAUGCUCUAGCUAUGCACUCUAAUACCACCCCGUCCUUACACUCUGUUUUCCCAGACAUCAGAGAGAGCAUGAGAGAGGACAGAAGUGAAAAAACUGCUUAGGCUGGGGGUGAGAGGAGCUGCAAGGGGCGUGGGGAACAUGAGAAAGAAAAUUAGGUUUUCAGCAGUGUUUUUGCGAUUUGUGAACAUUAUUUACUUUGUUAGAUACUGUGCUCUUUUGACUCAGCCAGGACCACUUGGGUCAUGGUCUCUAAGAGAUUUGGUUAUUUAAUACUCAUCUUCCCACCUGGAUUGUGAACUCUAUUAGGACAGGAACAUUUUCAUUUUGUUCACUGCUAUAUCCCCCAUAAUUAGCACAGUAACUUGUGCAAGCCACUUAACCACACUGGGGCUCAGUUUCCACAUCUGUACUUUACUUCUGCUCUAUGCUUCAAUUUCCUAUUCUGUAAAAUGGGAUGAUAAUUACCUACUCUGUGGCCAGACUGUUACAUUGAGGGGGUCCCUGGGAUUUGUGUCCUUGGUCAGUCCCCUCCCACACUGAUUCUGGGCAUGGCUAUGUGACUUGGCCAAUGGGCCAUUAGCAAGCCUGAUGCAGGCAGAGGCUUAAUGAGAGCCUGCUCAUGAAGGCUUGGCCCCUGGUCCAGCUCUGUCUUGGAACCCAGCUGCUGCGCCGUGAAGAAGCUCAGGCUGGGUGAUUGGGUGGUGAGGGGCUAUGUGGAGAGACCCUGGAGGCUGAGCCAUGUCUUGGACAUUCUAGCCUGGGCAAGUGCCAACAUCUGCACCUCACUUUACCAUGACGAGCAGAAGAACCACCCAGCUGAACCCAGGCAACCCACAGGAUCAUGAGAAAUAACAAUUGCUGUUGUUUCAAGCUACUAGGACUUGGAUGGUUUGUUAUACCAAAAUAGAUAACAAAAAUCCCAGCCUAUAAAGCUUAUAGGAUGAUUAAAUGAAUGAGUACAUGUAUAAUAAAAUAUAUGCAAAAAACAUAGUUUUAUACUGAGCUCUCAAUACAUUUUACCCAUUAUUAUUACUGCUAUCAUCAUAGUAUGUGGUCAGUAAAUAUUUGGCAAGUAAAAAAAUCGAAUUCCUGUUUCCCUUCCCCGUUUCCUCGUUAGGCUCUCACCUGGGCUGAGAAGUCAAUGAGUUUUGGCAAUGGCUGCUUGCUGCCCUCAUCACUUUUCAGAAAGUCCAGCAAGCUUCCUAUAUGGGGGAGAGGGGAGGAACAUUUACUACUUUUACUAUUUAAUGGCAAAAACCACAAUUACUUUUGCACCAAUCUAGUACUUUAGUGUGUGGUGAAGAUUUUUCAUAGUAGUAGAUUUAAAUACGAAUAUUUGUUUGCAAUUCCUAGUGUUUGAGAAAGAGAAUUGAGUUUUAGUGAAGUGACUUUUUGAUUGCUAGAUGGAUUCUGUGACUGAGACAGCCCCUGAGCCUGGAUGGCUGGGAUCAUGCCUUCACAGGACUGGCAUAAUUGCAUAGUUAAAAUGAAAAAGGCUUGAGGUUUCAAAUCGCACUAAAUGGGAUUGCAUGAGAUGAUUCUGUUUAUCAAAAAAUGGGCAGAGUGGCUAGGCACGAGGCUCACUCCUGUAAUUCCAACACUUUAGGAGACCGAGGUGAGAGGAUCACCUGAGGCCAAGAGUUUGAGACCAGCCUGGGCAACAUCGCAAGACCCCAUCUAUAGAAGAAAUUUACAAAUAUAUAUGUUAGGCCAGGCUCAGUGGUUCAUGCCUAUAAUCCCAAAGCUUUGGGAGGAUCAGUUGAACCCAGGAGUUUGAGACCAGCUGGGGCAAGAUGGCGAGACCUUGUCUCUAGAAAAAAAUUUUAGAAGCUGGGCGCAGUUGCUCACGCCUGUAAUUCCAGCAUGGUGGGAGGCUGAGGCGGGCGGAUCACAAGGUCAGGAGAUUGAGACCAUCCUGGCUAACACGGUGAAACACCGUCUCUACUAAAAAUACAAAAAAAUUGGCCAGGCAUGGUGGCAGGCACCUGUAGUCCCAGCUACUUGGGAGGCUGAGGCAGGAGAAUGGCGUGAACCUGGUAGGUGGAGCUUGCAUUGAGCCGAGAUUGUGCCACUGCACUCCAGCCUGGGAAACAGAGUGAGACUCUGUCUCAAAAAAAAAAAAAAUUUUUUUAGAAAUUAGCUGGGUGUGGUAGUGCAUGCCUGUAGUGCCAGCUACUGGGGAGACUAAGUCGGGAGGAUCCUGGAGCCUGAGAGUUUGAGGCUACAGUGAACUAUGAUCACGCCACUGCACUCCAGCCUGGGUAGGCAGAGGGCAACCCUGUCUCUAAAAAUAAAUAUGUAAAUAAAUAAAUAAAAUUAGCUGAGUGUGGUGGCAUGGGCCUGUGGUCCCAGCCACUCGGGGGGCUGGGGUGGGAGGAUCACUUGAGCCCAGGAGUUAUGAUUGCACCUCUGCACUCCAGCCUGAGUAACAGAGCAAGUUCCUGUCCCUAAAAAACAAACAAACAAAAAAUGGCAGGGGUUGAAAAUGGUUGUGAAACAGUGGCCUAAAAAAAUUCCCCAAGAAAUCCUGAGUUGUGGCAGGGCGGGGGUGGGGGCAGAACUGCUGCUUUGCCAGCUCCCUCUCCCAGGGCUUUGGCAAGUACAGGGAAGGUGGCUGAUGCGGGAGAGUGGCACCCCCACCACCCAUGCCACACCCUGGCCUCUAAGGCUCACUGUGAACCAUAAGCCCCUUCUCCCAUUGCCCAGGAGUAUUCUGGCCCCAUUCCCUUCUCCUGGUAGCCCCUUGUUCUCCCUUCCCCUUGGUGACCCCUUAACAUGAUUUCACCCCACUAACCAGGAGGGCUGGAUUGUUCCACAUUAGAUUCUCAAUGAGUACUUGUUGGAAGAGCUCCUGGCCAGAUUGGGGCCAUCUCAAGGGCAAGAACCAUGUCCAAGCCACCCUUGGGCCCGCAAUUGACCAGUAUAGGCCACAGCCUGCACCCCCAGCCCCAGCACGCAGCACCUUUGGCCAUGAACUCCGUGAUGAUGUAGAUGGGCUCCUUGGUGACCACCGCAUGAAGUUUGA
rnacentral:lncRNA from 10 species